rnacentral:rRNA from 1 species
GCAGCAGCCGCGGUAAUACAGAGGGUGCGAGCGUUAAUCGGAUUUACUGGGCGUAAAGCGUGCGUAGGCGGCUUCUUAAGUCGGAUGUGAAAUCCCUGAGCUUAACUUAGGAAUUGCAUUCGAUACUGGGAAGCUAGAGUAUGGGAGAGGAUGGUAGAAUUCCAGGUGUAGCGGUGAAAUGCGUAGAGAUCUGGAGGAAUACCGAUGGCGAAGGCAGCCAUCUGGCCUAAUACUGACGCUGAGGUACGAAAGCAUGGGGAGCAAACAGGAUUAGAGACCCGUGUAGUCCCUGUCUCUUAUAC